AGCUGCAGCUGAAGGACUGAGAGGAGGAGCGUCAGCAGGCAGCAGCUUCUGCAGUGCGCGGCGUUACAGGGCAGCGCUGAGUGCCGCCCAUCUCAGCACUCCACCUUCAAACGUAGUCAAUAAACACCAGUCAAAUUUAUAGAUUCACAGAGAGCGCACGGCCUGAUUUGUCCAGCGGCACUCGGAGAGCUGCUGCACCACCUCCUCGUUAUUGGUCUCGCGGCGCUCGCUCAGAACUGCCACAGCUCCGUCAGCGAAUGCUGCCGUCCAUGUGAUGCAACGGAGGCAGCAGUCCUUUGCACUGCCCACAGACAGACUGUCUGCAAAGCACGUGCAAAGAGCUGCAGGGAACACAGCCUGGCCAUGAGCGUGCUAACUUGGAGAGCAACGCUGUGGAGAUUGCUGAGUUUCCCAGGGCAGCACCGAGCAUUUUUUGCCUGUGAUGACGGGUGUACAAUGAGCAAAGUUCAGCAAAAGGACGGCGUUUUCUGAGAAAAAAAUGACAGGCUGUUGGUCCAGAGCAGCAUCUCUGCAGCUUAGGACCACCAGGCUGCCAUCCCGGCACUGUUCUGCUUGCAGACAGCGCUCCAUGUUGUGGCACUCAGAGGGCGUCCCUCUGCCGUGCAGCCCUCCCCAGUGCCUGCCUGCCUGUCACUGUUGCGGCUGGGAUGGAGCUGUUUCCUUUGCAGUGCCUGCUAUCUUUUCACAUGCGUGCACCCCAUCCCUCUGCACACCCACGAGCACGAAGACUCGAGCACUGCUCCAGCCUUGCACACUGCCAUGUGCAUGCACACAGAUGCAAAACUUUCACCUGCAAGCACUGUGCACACAGCCAAGCGCAAUGCACGCUCUGAUGUUCAGCACCAUCUCUGCACACCCCCGUAUGCACGCAUACCUGCACUCACAGCUCGAGGACAAAAUGCUGCUGGCACGGCACAGCCAACACGCAGGCGGUGGGCAAUGUCAGGAGGAAAGGCCCCCCUUUACGCUCAUUCAUUCUCCUCUCUUUAAUGAAUGCAUUGGUGCACAGCUGGAGCCCCAUCCUGAGAUGUGGAUUUGCUGCUGGGGUUCCUCGUCGGUGGGCUAUGGGGAUCCUGGGAUGGUAAUGGGGGUCCUGUCACGGACUGUGGAACUCUGAGGACCCAGGAGAGGACUGAGGGGGUAAGGGAGGUCUGAGGAAGAAAACAAGGGGGUUCAGUGGGAGCUCAGAGGGGGAUGUGUGCUGCUGCUGGGGACUGCAGAAGCCUGUGAUGGCCCAGCUUGUCUGUGGGGGAGAUGUGCUGAGUCUGAGAAGGUCCUUGAGGAGCUAUAGGGCUCUCUGGGGGUGUGUUUGGUGGAUAUAGGGACAUUAAGGGAUGUGGGAACACAGGCUGCAGGAGCAGAAUGCUGUUCAGGAGAAGACAAGACGUGGGCUGCAGGUGGGACACAGGGGCAUGGGCUAGUAUGGGGACGUAGAGAGUAUGGGAGGAUGUGGGGAGCGGUUUGAGGUAAAAAGAGGGGGGGGGGGGGGGCAGAGUUGCAGUGGUUUCAAUUCAUCCUGAGAGGGGACUGGGCGUCCCUGUGGCCCAAAGGUGGGGCCCUGAGCCGUUACACCACAUGAGCCAUAACCCAAGAUGACCUCAUCGCCCUGUAUGUGCGUGACCCCAUGGCUGCACUGACCUACAGCUUUGGGGGAACGAUACCCCUACAUGACCCUGUGACUCCCUGACUCUGCCUGCCCCCAUCACGCUGCGACCCAAUGCCAUGUGGCCCCAGAACUCUGGGAUCCCUGCCCCACCUAACCCUGACCAUACAACCCCAUGUGACCAUGAACUCCAUGUCACCCAAUCAGACCCCAUAGCCCCACUCAAUCCCGUAACUCUGUGACCCUGCAGGACCCCCAUUUGACCCACGACCCCACAUCCUCACCCCAUGUGUCCAUAGAACCAGCUGCAUGAGGGGAAAAGGCAUCUCCUCCGCAGGGCUGGGCUGCACCACAGCUGCCCCAAAGAAGCCAUGGGGAGGGCUGCAGCCGUACGCCUCAGUUUGGAGAGCUGGGAACUGGCUGAAGGGUCCAGGAGAAGGACAUGAAUGCUUCUGUAGGGAAAUACCUGUCCCAGGGUUUGGUGGGUUGGUAGCUUCUGUUUCUGUAAGUGCAUGAGAACAGAACAAACUGAUCCCACUGAGACCAGGGAAGGGACUGGAGCUUGGCUUGAAUCAGGAACAGAGCAGGGAUGGACUGAAGCAAAUCAACUCCUUCACGGGACAGUGGCAGAAGAAAUCCAAGUCAGCUGCAGAACGAACAACACAACCCCUUACAAAAGGGCGUCCCAGACUGGGGCCGUUGCAGCAGUAGGGGCAGUGCCUCUUGGAAGGGAUCUCGCGGUGGGGAAGAAACUGCUCCAACAUCAGCACUUGCAGCAGCUGCUGCAACGACCCCGAGAAAUGGGCAGAGCACUCUGAGGGCAGCGCAGCACGAGGAGGAAGGAAUGCACGGUGGUGCAGAACGAGCGCAGAAGGAUGGAGAGCAGCAGCGGUGGGAUCCCCCUUUGGCACGGCCACCCACCGCUACGGGACUGCAACAAGGAGCUGCACCCUGCCGUGGUCAGCAUGGCUCUGUGUGCCAGCUGUGUGCUGCUGGAAAGCACCCGAGCGGUUACGGGUGGGAGAGUGGCAGAGGAAAUCAUCCAACAUCUGCAGGGAUAGCACAAGGCAGGCUCAGUGUGACAGCUGUGUCAGUCGUGCAGCAGACAGAUGCUGAGCAGAGCACAGCAGGGCCAGGACGUUCUGACCAGGGGGAGGUGGAGAGUGCACACGAGAUAAGGCACAGCUGCAGGACGGAGCAUGAGACCCAGCACGUGCAACAGCUGCAAGAAAUCCUGCCUGCCUGUCUGCAUAGAAAAGC
ensembl:lncRNA